UCAUCAUCAUCAUCAUCUCACCACGUGGGGCCGUAACACAUGCCAAUGCCGCCGACACACAUCUGUACUGUUUUUUUUAUUAGCAUUUACCUUACUGUAGAUAUAUUGAUGGUAGAUAUCUGAUCCCGUGUGGUCUAGUGGCGGCUUCAGUAGUACAGUAGUACAGUAGUAGUACAGUCCAGUACUAGACGUGUAUGUCCGCCCGCGCUGCCAUCUUUAGUGCCCGAUUUGCGAACUUUGUCUGGCGCGGUAGUUUGA